AACACAUUAGCAGCCACCAAGAAUGAUAGAAAAGUUGUCAUGCUCCUUGACGGGACGUAAAUUUGAAGUUUUCUUGGUAUUAUGAAAAAAACUGCGAGGAUAAUAUGGGUUUAACAAAAAUUGGCUAGGCAGUCAGUCAAUGUGUUAAAGGAACUAUACACAUAAGUAUAUUUUUUUUCUUUAUUAUUAUAUUUCACAAUUGAAAAUAAAAUGCAAGUACUUUAAAAACUUA